rnacentral:rRNA from 1 species
AUUGAACGCUGGCGGCAGGCCUAACACAUGCAAGUCGAACGAGUGGCGGACGGGUGAGUAAUGUCUGUGAAACUGCCUGAUGGAGGGGGAUAAUUACUGGAAACGGUAGCUAAUACCGCAUACCAUCAGAUGUGCCCAGAUGGGAUUAGCUUGUUGUGGGGGGAACGGCUCACCCAGGCGAAGAUCCCUAGCUGGUCUGGGAGGAAGACCAGCCACACUGGAACUGGGACACGGUCCAGACUCCUACGGUGGGCAGCAGUGGGGAAUAUUGCACAAUGGGCGCAAGCCGGAUGCAGCCAUGCCGCGUGUAUGAAGAAGGCCUUCGGGUUGUAAAGUACUUUCAGCGGGGAGGCGUUACCCGCAGAAGAAGCACCGGCUAACUCCGUGCCAGCAGCCGCGGUAAUAC